rnacentral:Y_RNA from 1 species
GGCUGGUCUAAGUGCAGUGGUAGUGUCUACAAUUAAUUGAUCAAGCCAGUUACAUAUUUCUUUGUUCCUUCUCCUCUUCCACUGUUUCACUUGAUAAGCCUUAC